rnacentral:rRNA from 1 species
GAGCCUGAGAAACGGCUACCACAUCCAAGGAUGGCAGCAGGCGCGCAAAUUACCCAAUCCCGACACGGGGAGGUAGUGACAAUAAAUAACAAUACGGGGUUCUUUAGGAUCUCGUAAUUGGAAUGAGUACAAUUUAAAUCUCUUAACGAGGAACAAUUGGAGGGCAAGUCUGGUGCCAGCAGCCGCGGUAAUUCCAGCUCCAAUAGCGUAUAUUAACGUUGUUGCAGUUAAAAAGCUCGUAGUUGAAUUUCGGGGUUAGUAGGUUGGUCAUGCCUCUGGUAUGUACUGAUCUCACUGAUUCCUCCUUCCUUAUGAACCGUAAUGCCAUUAAUUUGGUGUUGCGGGGAAUUUGGACUGUUACUUUGAAAAAAUUAGAGUGUUUAAAGCAGGCUAACGCUUGAAUACAUUAGCAUGGAAUAAUGAAAUAGGACGUUCGAUCUUAUUUUGUUGGUUUCUAGGAUUGACGUAAUGAUUAAUAGGGAUAGUUGGGGGCAUUAGUAUUCAAUUGUCAGAGGUGAAAUUCUUGGAUUUAUUGAAGACUAACUACUGCGAAAGCAUUUGCCAAGGAUGUUUUCAUUAAUCAAGAACGAAAGUUGGGGGCUCGAAGACGAUCAGAUACCGUCCUAGUCUCAACCAUAAACGAUGCCGACCAGGGAUCGGCGGAUGUUGCUACAAGGACACCGCCGGCACCUUAUG